rnacentral:rRNA from 1 species
UACGUAGGGGCCGAGCGUUGUUCGGAAUUAUUGGGCGUAAAGGGCGCGUAGGCGGCCAACUAAGUCAGACGUGAAAUCCCUCGGCUUAACCGGGGAACUGCAUCUGAUACUGGAUGGCUUGAGUUCGGGAGAGGGAUGCGGAAUUCCAGGUGUAGCGGUGAAAUGCGUAGAUAUCUGGAGGAACACCGGUGGCGAAGGCGGCAUCCUGGACCAUGACUGACGCUGAGGAGCGAAAGCCAGGGGAGCAAACGGG